AUGCUGAGCGCCGAGUCUCGCACCAUGCCCCACGCUGCGGUCCACUACGCAGGUUGCUCCCUGCCACCCGAUGCCCGCAUGCUAGCCAUGUCCCGUCCACCGCCAACGCGGGCCGCCUUGGGCAUCCUGGCCCGGCAUGCCAUGGUGCUAGGCACCAUGGAGAUGGGGGGCCACAUGGACGCAUCCGCCAGUGCCACGGCCAUGCGCGCUUUCCUGGAGUGCAGCCACACCAAGCUGGACAUGGCCUUCACGUACAGCGAUGGCCAGUCCAAAACCAUCCUGGGCAGCCUGGGGCUGGGGCUGGGCAGCAGCGACUACUGAGUGAAAUUUGCCACCAAGGCCAACCCUUGGGAGGGAAAAUCACUAAAGCCUGACAAUGUCCGGUCCCAGCUGGAGACGUCAUUGAAGAGGCUGCAGUGUCCCCAAGUGGACCUCUUCUACCUACAUGCACCUGACCACAGCACCCCAGUGGAAGAGACGCUGUGUGCCUGUCACCAGUUGCACCAGGAGGGCAAGUUCAUGGAACUUGGCCUCUCCAACUAUGCCGGCUGAGAAGUGGCGGAGAUCUGUAUGCUCUGCAAGAGCAAAGGCUGGAUCCUGCCCACUGUGUACCAGGGCAUGUACAACGCCACCACCUGGCAGGUGGAAAUGGAGCUCUUCCCCUGCCUUGGGCACUUUGGACUGAGGUUCUAUGCCUACACCCUCUGGCUGGGGGCCUGCUGACCGGCAAGUACAAGUAUGAGGCCAGGGCAAGAAACAGCCCGGGGGCCACUUCUUUGGGAAUAGCUGGGCUGAGACCUACAGGAAUCGCUUCUGGAAGGAGCACCACUACAAGGCCAUUGCCCUGGUGCAGAAGGCCAUGCAGGCUGUGUAUGGUGCCAGUGUCCCCAGUAUGACCUCGGCCACCCUCUGGUGGAUGUACCACCACUUACAGCUGCAGGGUGCCCAUGGAGACGCGGUCAUCCUGGGCAUGUCCAGCCUGGAGAAGCUGGAGCAGAACUUGGCAGCGAUGGAGAAAGGGCCCAUGGAGCCGACUGCCAUGGACACUUUUAAUCAAACCUGGCAUUUGGUUGCCCACGAAUGUCCCAACUACUUCUGCUAG